rnacentral:rRNA from 1 species
UACGAAGGGGGCUAGCGUUGCUCGGAAUCACUGGGCGUAAAGGGUGCGUAGGCGGGUCUUUAAGUCAGGGGUGAAAUCCUGGAGCUCAACUCCAGAACUGCCCUUUGAUACUGAGGAUCUUGAGUUCGGGAGAGGUGAGUGGAACUGCGAGUGUAGAGGUGAAAUUCGUAGAUAUUCGCAAGAACACCAGUGGCGAAGGCGGCUCACUGGCCCGAUACUGACGCUGAGGCACGAAAGCGUGGGAGCAAACAGGG